CGGCGGACGGGUGAGUAACACGUGGAUAACCUACCUAUAAGACUGGGAUAACUUCGGGAAACCGGAGCUAAUACCGGAUAAUAUAUUAAACCGCAUGGUUCAAUAGUGAAAGACGGUUUUGCUGUCACUUAUAGAUGGAUACGCGCCGCAUUAGCUAGUUGGUAAGGUAACGGCUUACCAAGGCAACGAUGCGUAGCCGACCUGAGAGGGUGAUCGGCCACACUGGAACUGAGACACGGUCCAGACUCUACGGGAGGCAGCAGCC
rnacentral:rRNA from 1 species